rnacentral:rRNA from 1 species
GACGAACGCUGGCGGCGUGCUUAACACAUGCAAGUCGAACGGAAAGGCCCUGCUCUUGUGGGGUGCUCGAGUGGCGAACGGGUGUGUAACACGUGUGUCCCCUGCCCUUGACUUUGGGAUAACUUCAGGAAACUGGGGCUAAUACCGGAUAGGAGCUCCUGCUGCAUGGUGGGGGUUGGAAAGUUUCGGCGGUUGGGGAUGGACUCGCGGUUUCUCCGCUUGUUGGUGGGGUUGUGGUUUACCAAGGCUUUGACGGGUCGCCGGCCUGAGAGGGUGACCGGCAACAUGGGGACUGAGAUACGGCCCGAAUUCCAACGGGGGGCAGCAGGGGGGAAUAUGGCACAAGGGGCGGAAGCCGGAGGCAGCAACGCCGCGGGCGGAAGAACGGCCUUCGGGUGGUAAACCGCUUUCGCCUGUGACGAAGCGUGAGUGACGGUAAUGGGUAAAGAAGCACCGGCUAACUACGUG